rfam:Rattus norvegicus chromosome 13, whole genome shotgun sequence.
GGGGAUUUGGCUCAGUGGCAGAGCGCUUGCCUAGGAAGCGCAAGGCCCUGGGUUCGAUCCCCAGCUCCG